ACAAUCUUAAUAGAUCAUGCCUGGUGGGGAAAAAGUAAACAGGACUUAUGGUGGUGUCUUGCUGCUGUCUUCUUCACGCAGCGCUCCGGGAUGCCUUCUUGUCAGGUGCUUGUGCAUUGCACUUGUACUGCUAAACAUAAAAUGUCU